rnacentral:rRNA from 1 species
CCUACGGGUAGCUGCAGUGGGGAAUAUUGGACAAUGGGCGCAAGCCUGAUCCAGCCAUACCGCGUGGGUGAAGAAGGCCUUCGGGUUGUAAAGCCCUUUUUGAAGACACGCGGUACCCAAAGAAUAAGCACCGGCUAACUUCGUGCCAGCAGCCGCGGUAAUACGAAGGGUGCAAGCGUUACUCGGAAUUACUGGGCGUAAAGCGUGCGUAGGUGGUCGUUUAAGUCCGUUGUGAAAGCCCUGGGCUCAACCUGGGAACUGCAGUGGAUACUGGGCGACUAGAAUGUGGUAGAGGGUAGCGGAAUUCCUGGUGUAGCAGUGAAAUGCGUAGAGAUCAGGAGGAACAUCCAUGGCGAAGGCAGCUACCUGGACCAAAUGACACUGAGGCACGAAAGCGUGGGGAGCAAACAGGAUUAGAUACCCGAGUAGUC